rnacentral:misc_RNA from 1 species
CCGAGUUUACAACUCCCAAACCCAAUUGUGAACCAUUACCUAAUCGUUGCCUUCGGCGGGGUACCGCCCCGGCUGCCGUCGAACCGCCCGGAACCAGGCAGCCCGCCGGAGGGAUCAACCAAACUCUUUCUGUAGUCCCUCGCGGACGUAUUUCUUACAGCUGAGCAAAAUUCAAAAUGAAUCA